CCAAUCAAGAACAAGCAUCAAAAACCCAGGAACAAACCAAGAUCAAAAAAUCCCGUGAUAUCCAAUUGCAAGGACAUACAGACAGAUAAUACAGGGCUGCACCAGGAGGCAGACGGACUGAUCCCAGCAGACAAGAGACCCAUGGACUUCUCAGACAGCUAAUCACACCUCCCUUUGCUGGCUCUUUUGCCGUUUGGUUUAUGGAGGCCCACGGGGAAAGUGUCUAUAAGGACACCUACUGAUUUAGCAAUCCCCCACCCCAUCCUCUGUUUGUGCAGACAUAACAACAGACUUCAAGGACAAACAUCACCAAGCAGCAAGUCACAUUCGAGGAAGCUCUGGAAGCAACAGUUUUUCUGCAAAAAUGUGAAGGGAAGUGCCUUUUGAGAUAUCCAUGGAGCACAUUCCACAGGAAGUUCUGAAAGUCAUUAAUCUACAAAAGCGGCAGGGAUUUAUUUGCCUCUGUACAGCUGGAGAUGGGAUAAAUAAAAUGAACUCAGGCAUAAAAUUGUGGCUUUUCAUCAGCUGAAAACUGCAUCCUGAGAUAGUUACUUUUAUGGAUGACAUCUCUCAGAAGUCAAAAUCCUGUAUGGUGAUUUUGUGUGAUUUCGGAAGCUGUCACCCAAAAAGUCAUAAGAGUGGUUGCUAGUGCCACCAUCUCAUCUAUCAAGGCCUGGACAAUGGUGCAGUAGGUAGCAGAAGGAGAAUUCUCUUAGCUGGAGGCCCAAAAGCAAUCCCACUCCAAUGGUUAGCUAUGUCUCUAGAGUUCUUUGAUACUUACCAGUUAUUCCUCAAGAGUAUUGAAGGUAUGGCACUGUGAUUCCCUUUUAUCUGAUUUGGCAUCCUAGGAUCUAACUUCAAAUCUCAUAGUUCCCUACUAUGAGAAGAACAUGAGAAGAACAACCCUGAUAGUCAUUUUAAUGUAUUUUAAUUGCCUUUCCUAGGUUUUAUGUUUAAAUGGUUAAUUGAUGUUAUUAGUAUAGUUAAAUUUAUUCAAUUAUUUGUAUUUGGUCCUCAUUUUGGUGUUAAUUUCUCUUUUGUCACAAGUUUAUGGUUAUUAUUUUUGUAUUAUUCUGUUUGUUUUAAAAUAUUUGUAUUUGAGUUCAGACACUGAAUGUUUGCCUUCUUUGUAUGUAAACCGACCUGAGUCCCCUUGGGAAGAGAGGACAGUCUAUAAAUAAAGUUAUUAUAACAGUUAAA